GGGUUGUGAGGUUAAGCGACUAAGCGUACACGGUGGAUGCCCUGGCAGUCAGAGGCGAUGAAGGACGUGCUAAUCUGCGAUAAGCGUCGGUAAGGUGAUAUGAACCGUUAUAACCGGCGAUUUCCGAAUGGGGAAACCCAGUGUGUUUCGACACACUAUCAUUAACUGAAUCCAUAGGUUAAUGAGGCGAACCGGGGGAACUGAAACAUCUAAGUACCCCGAGGAAAAGAAAUCAACCGAGAUUCCCCCAGUAGCGGCGAGCGAACGGGGAGCAGCCCAGAGCCUGAAUCAGUGUGUGUGUUAGUGGAAGCGUCUGGAAAGGCGCGCGAUACAGGGUGACAGCCCCGUACACAAAAAUGCACAUGCUGUGAGCUCGAUGAGUAGGGCGGGACACGUGGUAUCCUGUCUGAAUAUGGGGGGACCAUCCUCCAAGGCUAAAUACUCCUGACUGACCGAUAGUGAACCAGUACCGUGAGGGAAAGGCGAAAAGAACCCCGGCGAGGGGAGUGAAAAAGAACCUGAAACCGUGUACGUACAAGCAGUGGGAGCCUCUUAAUGGGGUGACUGCGUACCUUUUGUAUAAUGGGUCAGCGACUUAUAUUCUGUAGCAAGGUUAACCGAAUAGGGGAGCCGAAGGGAAACCGAGUCUUAACUGGGCGUUAAGUUGCAGGGUAUAGACCCGAAACCCGGUGAUCUAGCCAUGGGCAGGUUGAAGGUUGGGUAACACUAACUGGAGGACCGAACCGACUAAUGUUGAAAAAUUAGCGGAUGACUUGUGGCUGGGGGUGAAAGGCCAAUCAAACCGGGAGAUAGCUGGUUCUCCCCGAAAGCUAUUUAGGUAGCGCCUCGUGAAUUCAUCUCCGGGGGUAGAGCACUGUUUCGGCAAGGGGGUCAUCCCGACUUACCAACCCGAUGCAAACUGCGAAUACCGGAGAAUGUUAUCACGGGAGACACACGGCGGGUGCUAACGUCCGUCGUGAAGAGGGAAACAACCCAGACCGCCAGCUAAGGUCCCAAAGUCAUGGUUAAGUGGGAAACGAUGUGGGAAGGCCCAGACAGCCAGGAUGUUGGCUUAGAAGCAGCCAUCAUUUAAAGAAAGCGUAAUAGCUCACUGGUCGAGUCGGCCUGCGCGGAAGAUGUAACGGGGCUAAACCAUGCACCGAAGCUGCGGCAGCGACGCUUAUGCGUUGUUGGGUAGGGGAGCGUUCUGUAAGCCUGCGAAGGUGUACUGUGAGGUAUGCUGGAGGUAUCAGAAGUGCGAAUGCUGACAUAAGUAACGAUAAAGCGGGUGAAAAGCCCGCUCGCCGGAAGACCAAGGGUUCCUGUCCAACGUUAAUCGGGGCAGGGUGAGUCGACCCCUAAGGCGAGGCCGAAAGGCGUAGUCGAUGGGAAACAGGUUAAUAUUCCUGUACUUGGUGUUACUGCGAAGGGGGGACGGAGAAGGCUAUGUUGGCCGGGCGACGGUUGUCCCGGUUUAAGCGUGUAGGCUGGUUUUCCAGGCAAAUCCGGAAAAUCAAGGCUGAGGCGUGAUGACGAGGCACUACGGUGCUGAAGCAACAAAUGCCCUGCUUCCAGGAAAAGCCUCUAAGCAUCAGGUAACAUCAAAUCGUACCCCAAACCGACACAGGUGGUCAGGUAGAGAAUACCAAGGCGCUUGAGAGAACUCGGGUGAAGGAACUAGGCAAAAUGGUGCCGUAACUUCGGGAGAAGGCACGCUGAUA
rnacentral:rRNA from 1 species